rnacentral:rRNA from 1 species
UACAGAGGUCCCAAGCGUUGUUCGGAUUCACUGGGCGUAAAGGGUGCGUAGGUGGCUGGGAAAGUUCGAUGUGAAAGCUCGGAGCUCAACUCCGAAAUGGCAUUGAAUACUAUUCGGCUUGAGGGUCGGAGGGGAGACUGGAAUUCUCGGUGUAGCAGUGAAAUGCGUAGAUAUCGAGAGGAACACCAGUGGCGAAGGCGAGUCUCUGGACGACUCCUGACACUGAGGCACGAAAGCUAGGGGAGCAAACAGG